UUUAAAUUACCAAUUAGUAUAACAGUGACUAAAGCAUGUAUAUGAAACAAAUUUUCUGCAUGUCAAUAAAUGAACUAGCACUCUAGACAGGAGGCCCAAGUAUAGGAUAUGAGCUCUUAUAUACCCUUAUGUACAUUUUUUUCAUUUCCAAAUUUUUAAUUUCUAAUUCAAUAUAGAAGCUAAAAUUUAUUGUUCACUAAAAUUACACAAAUUUACUUUUCUGGCAACUGGCAUCAGGGAAUGAUGUGUGGCACAUCCUUUAUUGAUAUAUUUAUUUGAUUUAUUUGAUCUAUUUGAAAUUAUUACUUCCCUAUAUCCCUAUUGAAUUCCUAUUCAAUAUUUUUUACCGUACUCCAUCAGAGCACAACUGUCCUUUGUGCAUGAUCUCUCCUUUCUAUAAACGGUGCUUUAUCUACAUUUGUUCACACUAUUCCAAGAUAAAAUAUGUAAAGUGGCUUCAUGUACCUGUCUUCUUCUUUGGAAAGCUAAUAUAUAUUUAUAACUAUCCUAUUCAAACACCAUACCUACAUUUUUUAAGCCUGGCCAGACAUUGCUGGUUACUUUGUCAGAGCCAGUGGAAUAGUCAUAAGCUAACUAUCACAACAGUUCCAUACAUAUUUCUACCUCUACUAUUACCAACCAUGGAAGAGAGUAGGCUCAUUCCUGCGAACUUUGACGAGGAUCGUAUAUUUUAUCUUCAUGUGGAUCCCGAAGCUGUUACACAUGAGUUACCCUCCCUAUUUUAUAGGAAGUAUAGGGAACUUCUUCGAGAUAGGAUUAUUGUAAUAGACAUGAAUGACAAUCAAAUUGAGCUAUCAUUGAGCAGAAGGUUUCUACUGGCUACAUACUCCAUGGAUUUCAUAAUUUGGUCACAUGUUACGGGCUCGGCCAUGGUAGCUGGAUGAAGUUACUGUACGUUGGGGAGGACAUAUUCGUUGUUAUAAAGGUCAAAGACAGCUUCAUGAUGCGAAAAGAAUUCUCAUAUCCAACUUCUAAUCUUUUGCACAAAAAUAAGCCACCAACCAAUCACCUUUCUGCCCAACAAAUGCCACCAGUUUCGACUCCUUCAGAUUUGGUUCAUUCCAACUAUGCAGAUAUGCCAUUUCUAGAAGUUAAUUUGCAAAAUAGCUUUGUACAAAAAACUCUUCAUAAUCCCAUUACCACAAUACCUUCCCUUGCCUCCACUGGGAACACCUUCGAGAUGAAAACUGUCUACAAGCAAGAUCUUCAGCUCACAGGCUUCCAGGGAUAGGAUGGUUUCCUCAGUGCUACUCCGCUGUCUAAAACUUUUCUUCAGAAAGACCUGAACCACUCCGCUGCCAGCACGUUACAUACCAUGCCUAACAAAUACAACCAAUUUGGCCAGGAUCCAACCCAAGUUUCCCAACAGGUAUCCCCAUACUGCAAUGGUACUGCUAAUCAUGUUUGUUCCAUUACUAAACUACAAACUCACCCUACCGGAAAGGUCGAACUGAACCAAUACGCUACACCAUUAACCACUGGUGGCCCCAACUCAAACAUUCAAGGACCUCAUGUUUAUCGUUACCUUAAGCUUCUCACUUCCAACUAGGUUGACAACAGUUCCGUGAUCAUUCCCCUUAGAUUUGCUGAGAGUGCAUUUCCUAGCAGACACAACCAUGUCAAGGUGAUUCUGGACAAUGGCUCUUGCUACCGCAUUGGAUUGAGAUGGAGCAAAAAAAA